UAGUGGGGUGGCUGCUGUUAACCUGUGUGCAUGCCAUUACCAUACAGUAUGCCCUGUGUGCCACUGCGAAUGAAGGAUAGGCUUUUAGGAGAGAGGAAAAGCUGCAGCUCCACACGUUCCUGUCUGAAGGAUGGUCCAGAAAUCCCAGACGUCUGGUCGCCUUCUCAUUUCCACCUCUGAGAGAACUAGAGAAGAUCGUUUCAUGUUGACGGACUGGGGGGAAAUGUGCUAAUGUUUAUGGAUGGAGAAACUGAGAAUGAGAAAGUAGGAGUGACCUGACUACAAACAUGAAGGAAGUUGAGGGGGGCUGAAAAUAUGACCCAUGGUCUUCUGAUGAAGUCUUCUUUCCCAUUGUGCUUCUCAACAAGUCUAGGUAUAACCAGGAGUAAAUAUCACUGGUUAUAUAGUGAGAAUAAUUAAUAACAGAUGGACAGGCUAAAUGCAGACCCUGAUGGUGGCCUCCAGCAAGUUGCACUGGUUCUUUCUGGAGAACUUAUGGAGGACUGUGCACAAGAAUCAUACAGAAUGAGGUAUAAGUGACUCACCCAGAAUCAUACACCAAUUUUGUGCCAGAGGCAGGAUUUGAAUUCAGGUCUUCCUGACUCUGCUAGGAAUCACAUGAUCUUCUUUGUCUAAGGGUUGGGGUGGGCAGGUUGUUGAUGUCAGAACAAGGAAGCUCAUACUAGAUACAUUCCAUUUUUUAGUUAUUAUACUCUGAUUCCAUCUCUUGAUAUUUCAAUGGUUCCGUGAUAUCAUAGACCUUGAUAUUUGCACCAAUUAUGCCAUUAACAGCUCAUCCCUGCCUUCCCAUCCUGUGCAUUUUUUUUUUCAUUUCUCAUGAAUCUUCCCCAGAAGAUUCUAAGAGUCUCUUAAUAUGGUUUGGAUACCAGCAGAGCUGUAUACUUUGCAUCACUCUCAUGUGACAGGGCCAUCUUUUUUCCCCCCAGGUCAUUGAUUUCUCUGAUGACAUCUUUUAUACAACUUUUUAAAAGCAAUUUAUUUGUAAUGCAUCACAGCAGACUUGUGUCCAUCACACCCUAAUCUAUCACAUCUUUAGGCAAGUCUUCACUUAAGUUCUAAAGAGACUGUCCUUUUCAAUAUUCCAACAGCACGUCACCAGAAGAAUACCUGUAUUAAAAUUUGCCUUUGAGAUAGAAAUCUGAGAUCAUUAAAAGUACUACACUGAAGACUAAUUUCUAAAGGUAUAUUGAUAUGGGAGUAGUUAGGCGAUACAAUAGAUAAUGGAAUAAACCUAGAGUGAGGAAAACUCAUUUUAAUAAGUUUGAAUCCAGCUCAGACACUUACAAAGUGUGUGAUCCUGAGCAAGUCACUCACUCUAUUUGCCUCAGUUUCCUCAUCUGUAAAGUAAGCUGGAGAAGGAAAUUAUCUUUGACAAGAAAAUACCAAAUGAAGUCAUAAAGAAUCAAAUAUGGUUUUGAAAAAAAACUCAAUAACAUUAGCAUAGCAGAUAGCCAGUCUUAAAGCCAGGAAGACCUGUGUUCCAGUGCUACCUCUGACCCUGUGUGUUGCCCUGGACAAGUCACUUAACUUAGAAUUAUUCUAAGCAAUACUCCAAGACUAAAAGUUGCAGAAAAGGUGCCAACCCAUAUUAGUAUAAGGCAUUUCUUUAUCUGGAAGUUCCCCAACCAAUGAAAUCACAGAACCAGAUUUAAAGAUCCCUAUUCACUUCUGGGCUUAGUUCAUUGCUCAUUCAAGAUUUUUAAUUUUUGACUUGCCUGUUGCUCUUGGUGAGCAACUUCUUAUGUCAAUGAAACUCAAGUUGCUUUGGUAUAUUGAAGUUAAGUGAUAUAGCUAAGGCCACAUAUAGGGAUAGUCUUUCUGGUCUCAAUACUCUCUUUCUCUGUCUGGCUGGGCUCAUAUAGAAGAAUAUUUCAGAGGUAGAAUUUGAAAAUAGGUCUCCUGGACUCCUAGGAUGGCUCUCUAUCAGUUAUUCUAGUGCUUCCUAAUGGUUUUUAUUCCUUAAAUUCCUUUCACAACCAAAAAAAAAACGUAUUGGAAAUUUAAUAUACUUUUCAUAAUGUCAUUUAUUCAUUAAGGGCUUUCAGUAACUACAAGGAUAACUUUUGCUCCCAAAACUUCAAAUUAAAAUUUAUAUUAUAUAUUAUAAAAUAUAAAUUAUUAUUUAUAACUUAUAAUUAUAAAACUAAAUAUAAAAUUAUGAAACUAGAGAAUAAUCAUAAAUAUUUUAUGUAGCGCAUCCUGUAAGAAUCAGAAGAAUAAUUCAUUAGAACAUAUUUUUGCUAGUGUCUACAGGACUUCACAUUAAAAUUUCUUUAUUUUAUAACUUUUUCUAAAUACAAAUGACAUUUUAAUGAAAUAAAUUAUAUCUUGAAGGAUGUUUAACAUAAUGUAAUAAUCAUGUAUAAACUUUGGACAGUUUUUAUUUGAACAAAGUUUACAAUGUUUGGCUUAACACCAGCUAAAACCAUCUUUAAAUUUGGUUCUCCAUCACAUUUAUUUCUAUUAGUUUGAUUUAAAACAAAAAUAAAGUGAACAUAUUUAUAAAUGUGGUAGAAAAUGACAGGAUUUUACAAGUUCUUUUACUGAGAAAUAGAAAUUCAUUUUGUGUUUUUGUUCCCAACAAACUGAUGAGAAUGAAUAGCUUAUGAUAAAAACUAUUUACUUUUCUAUUGGUUAAUGACAAACAUUGUAUUGAUUAAUAAAUGGAUUUAAUAUUCAA